rnacentral:tRNA from 1 species
ACUAACUAGUCAGAGUUAUUGUAUCAAAUUUAGAAUUUGAAUAUGGGAAUCCCAGUUAGUA